rnacentral:rRNA from 1 species
AGGACGAACGCUGGCGGCGUGCUUAACACAUGCAAGUCGAGCGGAAAGGCCCUUCGGGGUACUCGAGCGGCGAACGGGUGAGUAACACGUGAGUAAUCUGCCCCUAGCUCUGGGAUAGCUCCGGGAAACCGGGAUUAAUACCAGAUACGACCACUUUAGACAUCUGUUGUGGUGGAAAGAAUUUCGGCUAGGGAUGAGCUCGCGGCCUAUCAGCUUGUUGGUGAGGUAACGGCUCACCAAGGCGACGACGGGUAGCCGGCCUGAGAGGGCGACCGGCCACACUGGGACUGAGACACGGCCCAGACUCCUACGGGAGGCAGCAGUGGGGAAUAUUGCGCAAUGGGCGAAAGCCUGACGCAGCGACGCCGCGUGGGGGAUGAAGGCCUUCGGGUUGUAAACCCUUUCAGCAGGGACGAAGCGAAAGUGACGGUACCUGCAGAAGAAGCGCCGGCUAACUACGUGCCAGCAGCCGC